rnacentral:lncRNA from 1 species
AAACUAGAUGCAUACCAUGUAACUGAAAUCUACAUCAAAAGUCCAAAAGAAAUCAAGUAGAUGCAUUUUAAAAUGCAAAGUUUGAACCAAGAGUUACCAGAGAUGAAAACAAAUUGCAUCUUGAACAGCUACUGGAUUCUUUAUCUUCCAUAGCUCACCCGAACAUAUUUGCAUCUUGAACAGCUACUGGAUUCUUUAUCUUCCAUAGCUCACCCGAACAUAUUUGCAUCAAACUUACUGAUGUGAAAACGAGUUCAACGAAGGCUACUGGUUCAAGCAAUCAAAAUGCAAAUCCUUCAUAAGGGUCGUCGUCUUCAACUACCUGAGGCGGAGGCGAUUUCCAUGUUCGAAAACGAAUUUCACAAUGCGGAGAAGCCCUGGGAAUCUUAAGCACCUGUUCACAGAAACACGCGUUUUCUUCUAUAAGUAAGUUUUCCUGAGCGAAUACUGUUACCGCCUUCAAAACCUGUGCAUUCCCCAACAUGUAUUGCAGAAACUUUAUAUCACAUGUAUCUCCGAUGCAGUUUGAAAACUUGAUGGCUGUAAGGUUUGUUAGCAUACAAGCAGGAAUCAACUUUGGUUCUUCAGGCUUUUGUUUCUUACCCAAACAAAACAAAAAAGUUAUUUUCAAUAUUAUAUAAGGAUUAAAAAAUUUUAAACAAGCUAAGAAGAAAAAUCAGGUCAAACCUUGAAAUCCCUCCAAUCUACAAAAUCAAUAGACAAAAUUUUCAACUCGGGACAACUUUCAAGAAAUUGAAUGAUUUGUCCAGAUUCCCAUGUACCCUUCAACUCCAACUGCUUCAUGUUCGAAAAGAUGGGCAGAGGUGAAGUGAAUGGGAACUUCAACAAUGAACAAGAAAGUUACAGUUAGAAAAAAAAUCAAACUUACAAUUUCUAUUGAAAGAUUUUGAACUCCGGUUAUUUUGUUUAGUAUAUCAGCCCACAUGAAAUCAGAUGUACUUUGCCAACAUGUAAUAGAUGCCCCAACCAAAGACGACACAUCUUUCAUUUCAAAAAAGGAGCACAAUACUCCACCAACAAACAAGUAUUCAAGUUUAGGGACAUGUAAAACAAUUUUGUUUUCAUAACAGUCGGUAGCUGAAAUAUAUAUUAGUUUCAGCCGUUUCAAAGUAGGGAUGUUGAAUAUGUAAUCUUCUUCAUCAUUGGAAGAUACUUCCAAAGAUAAACUUUCAAGCACUGGGCAGCCACGAAUGAAAUUAAAUACUUCUAUGAAAGGAUUGCAAUACCCAACAAGUUCAAGAGUUUUCAGGCAAGGAAGAUAGAUUGAAGACGGAAACUCCCACACACAGUAAUCACAAACACUAAGUUCCAAUCUUAAGUUUGUGAGGGUUUUGCAGGUGAACACGCUUAAAGGCAACCUAGAUUGGAGAACACAUAUGUCAAGCUCACGGACGUUUAACCUGACGGCAUUAUCUAUCCAAUUUGAUACACUUGACCCUAUAGCAUGGUGAUAAUUAGAAAUGUGUAGUCGAAACAAUUCAACAUUAGAAGUUUUGCAAAACUUCAAUGCCCGGUCCACAAAUUUUAUGAAGUUUUUUUCAUUCCCAUCAACGAAUUUUGUAAUGAUGUUUUCAUUGGAGCGGAGACGGCGAGUAUAAUCAAAGUCCAGGUUUGUGACAGAUGUCCAAGUGUACCUCCAUCUUUUGGAUAGAACGCUAGUUCGCACAGCGUAUUUUGUAGGCAUUAGAGAGAGAAUGCGUGAAAGAACCUCUCCAGGCAACAUGCUAAGCAUGUCGUCUACGUUCUCAAUUGUGGAACUCAUUGUUUAGCUCUUAAUUUCUCCCUGAGAAACAAAACCCGUAAAUUCAAAAUCUUCCCAGUACAUUUCAUAUACGGAAAUUCACCACAAUCCAAAUGGUUGUAAAUAUUCACAGCACUUAAUGGUUUUUGAUAUGAAAACAUGUGAAAGUCAAUGUUAGUUUCAAAGUAAAAAAGUGUGAAAGUCCAGAUAUUUUAACACUAAACAUUCAAUAACUGAAAGAAGACAACCAGAUUAAUCAAUAACAACACACAGGCUCGUAUUUUAACAUAAGAACUGAAAGAAGAAACCUGAUUAAUCAGAUUCUUAAGUGCAAAGAAAAUCAAUUAGGGUUUGAGAUUGAAAAGUACAUAUAGUAAAAUUCAUGAGAAAUUUGAAUCUCAUUAAAUCUAUAGCCCAAUACAAAAAGUAGGGGGGAAAUGAACGCUAAAACGCAUAAUGCUCUGGUUGUAAAGUUAAUAGUUAAAAUAUUAUGUGUUUUAAACUUGAAAAAUAUAUAUAGAAGAGCAUUCAUUUGAAACCAAGAUUUAUGUUGAGACUGCGAGAACCGUAUCAUACGCUUAUACCUAUAGUUUUAAGUGUAACACAUAAGGCGUUUACAUAACCAGCCCACCCUGCUAACUAUUUCUCCCCUACUAGAUGAUCAAUACGCCAUGUAUAAGUGCUUUACACACCACGUAAUGCUUGUGUGCAUAUAGAUAUGGAUUUGGCCAGAAACUCAAUUUUGCCUAAAUGUGUAAAACUGAAAGCUGUAAAGGAACCGGAUCAAACAAACGAGACCUUGCUUGUGUUCGUUGAUUUAGAAUUUACCAGACAAACACAAUGAUUCAAGAACACAUAAACGAAUGAAAUAUAUUGUUUGUGUUAGUUCAUUAAAAAUGAAAUUUGUUCGUGUUAGUUUGUUAAUAUCAUAAACAAAUGCAGGUGAAUACAAUCGAACAUACAUACAACAACAAGAAGAAUUCAGAAAAUAAAAAAAAAACAAAUAAGAGGAAAUAUCAAAAAUACCACAUAAAAAACAAACAAGCAGGAAAAUGAGUAGAUUCUGCAAGUUGCUUACUGUAUAUAUCAUCAUGUGCAUAUAUAAACAAGUAGAACAAAAUAGUAACAAAACAGGCAGAGUGAUGUAAGAAACCCUAACUGACUAAUUUAAAUUUGACGGUUCUAAAUCAAAUACGAAAUCAGUGAAAAUAACUAAAACAAAGAAGAAUUAAUCGGUUUGAAAUUAAUGAAAGUCCUAAAUCGACAAAAUAAACAAACUUACGUCAGGGGGCGGAGGGCGUGGAAGCCGAAAUCAACGAAUGGAAGAAUGAAACUACGAAUUGAAGAUAUAGGGAAGCCCUAAUCGACAAAUGCCAUAACUUUUCUCUCCUUAAUUCUCCCUUCUCUUCUAUUCUUUUGU